CGAAACAUGGGUGGAUAGAUGGGUGCAUCACCUGGGUCCGUUCCAGUUCUCCUGGAUGGAUGGGUGAACAGAUGGUAGAUGAUGGGUUCGAUCCAGCUGAGCCUUGAGCAACACGGCUCUAAACUGCCCUCACUCACGGAUUUCCCUCUGCCUCGGCCACCCCUGAGACAGCAAGAGCAGCCCACGGCUUCCUCCUCCUCUGUAGCCUCCUCAGUGUGAAGACAACAAGAAUGAAGACCUUUAGGAUGAGCCACUUCAACUUCAUAAUGGGCGAACGCGAGGAAGGCUCACCUGCUGCGAAGUGGAUCUGCGCCGCCUGUGGUCCGGCGGGCUGGAAGUGGACGGCCAGCUCGACGACGUCCGGGAGGUCAAACACAGUCACCUGGAGACGAGGGUACUCGCGGGCCAGCUCUCGGGCCAGUGCACCUGUGCAGCCUGCGGGGAAGCAAAUACACGCUCUGCGGCCAGGUCGUCCUGGUGCCUACGGAACGCUGACGACUCUAACAAGCUCAACCGGGGCAGAAGUCAUGUUCGAGGGCAUGGCACUGAGACCCAUGCUGGAAGGGAAAGCCAGUGGUGGGGAGUUCGCUGGGGUCCCAGACAAGACUGUGCAAGCAGGUGAGUGCGGGGGCACAGACCUGCAGGGAAAUCCUUCCAGCCCAGAGGUGGGGGCUGUACUCCUCCCUUCUCCUUCCUGCCGUGGGGAUGUAUAAACGAUGGUCGGUGCAACAGCAGCCACUCUGGGCCACGUGUGGGGGCACAGACCUGCAGGGAAAUCCUUCCAGCCCAGGGGUGUACUCUGUACUCCUCCCUUCUCCUUCCUGCCGUGGGGAUGUAUACACAAUGGCCGGUGCUACAGCAGCCACUCUGGGCCACGUGUGGGGGCACAGACCUGCAGGGAAAUCCUUCCAGCCCAGGGGUGUACUCUGUACUCCUCCCUUCUCCUUCCUGCCGUGGGGAUGUAUACACGAUGGCCGGUGCUACAGCA